GCGGUGUCCGGGCCGCGGGUCCCUCAGCCGCCGCCGCUGCCGCCGCCGCCGCCGCCACCGCCGCCGCGAUCCGAGACAACCAGGGCCACCAGGAAGACCCGGACGCUGGAUCGCGAGGCCCUUGGAUCCGGAUUCCCUGCGGGCGUGGAGUCUGGAGCGGAGGGUAAACAGAAAAAGAAAGCGAAUACUGCAUGUGUGCAUCACCGGAACAAGAAUCUAGCGAGUUUUCCCUGAGAAUCCAGAGUGACCCUGCAGUAGAGUGCCUCAAGGAGCUUACAAGAAAAGAAAAGAAGAAAACCAAGAUGGGGAAGAAGCUAAGAAAAGGGAACUGGGACUAAAGAUCAAGUAAUAAUGGUCUGAGAGAUAACACUUACUGUCUUGUCCUCCUCCCCCUGUGGGGCCACCAGUUCCUAGAGCAAGGUAAGGACUGAAGGAAGGGGUGGAGUGCUGCAACUAAAACUGAAGGCAAGUAGAGGGACAUUUAAAUCCUAAAUAGUGGAAAAGAAAAAGGAAUUCUAGGGUUGUCAGACCACCAACUGCAGCAUCAUCUUAAGUCAAAGUCUGAAGUCCCAGUCUGUGUAAAUCAAAGGCAACUUUGUUUAGAUUUUCUGACUUUUAGGAAUCUUGGGAAAAUGUCUUAUCAAUCACAAGGGUUGCCUGAAUUUUGCUGCGUAUAUACAUUAAUCUAAUUUCAUACUGCAAGCAUUUCAUUCUGUGAUGAAAAGCAGUAUUAAAGUGUAGUCAACUAGCCAAAUGCAUCACUAUCAUCAGAGAGCAAGGUCCGGGGACCUGUGUUUAACAGCUUACCAGGUGGCUUUUAUUUUCUUCUGGGUUAGAGAAGGACUUCUGAAGAGAAAAGACAUAAAAAUGGCUAGUUGGUCCCUGAGGUAUAGAGAGAGGAAGGCAGAGUUGUGCACAAAAGACGACAAUGUGUGCCCCUGAGUCAUCCAAUUCACACCACCAGAAAGAAGUGACAGGAGGCACAAAGCAGUAACUGACAGCACAUGGUAGGUGGUGGUGCUGUUUUGCAAAGGCGGUUAGGCAAGUAAGACAUCACUAUGCGUCUCUGAGACUGAUUUGAAAUGGAAGAGACUACUCUAGGAUUAGACAGAAGAAGAGAAGUUGGGAGUUGAAGAAUUAAAAGGAGAAAACAAGUCUGGGAAAGGGCAUAUGCGGAGAAUACUAUAACCACAAAUACCUGAGAGCAAAAGUCACACAAGAAGAGAUCAUUUGAAGAGGUUACAAAACAAGAAUGAAAAGCAAGAAGGCCAGGGCAACACUACAGGAAGCAAUAACCAAGGGAAAUAGGGAAAGUAGUACUUCCAAAAUAGAUGCUCAUAAAUAAAUACCUAAGAGGUGAGGGGAUGGCUCGGUGGUAGACAAUGUGCUUGCAUGUGCAGGCCCUGGAUUCAAUCUCCAGUACAAAAAAGAGAUUUUUAAGAAUACAAAUAAAAAGGGGCUGGGGAUUUAGCUCAGUGGCACCUGCCUCACAGGCACAAGGUCCUGAGUUGGAUCCCUGGUACCAAAAAAAAAGAAUACAAAUAAAAAAGUAAACAAGAUGUUAAGUGCUAUUCUUGGAUGAAAUACUGAAGAACAAUGGAUAAAUGACAGCAUUGCCACUGACAUUGGCCUGCUGCUUCAGUACUGUGAUGAGCAGUACAAUUGGGCAAAGCAUCCUCUUUUGGCUAACAAAUAGCAUUUAAUGUAGUGGAUUCCUAAAUAGAACUUUAGAGUGAUAGAGAUUCACUAUCAUGCCAACAAUUGUGGAUCAAGGUACGCUUUUUUUUUUCUGGUUGUUUGCGACAGGGUCUCACUAUAUAGUUCAGGCUGGCCUCGAACUCCCAGGGAUCCUUCUGUCUCAACAUUUAAGUGCUGGGAUCACAGGCAUGCACCACCAUGACUGGCUUCAAGGUAUAUAUUGUAAAGGCUAUACUGUAAUUAAUAUGAUUUAGCUAUUGCUAAUAUGAUUAUAUUAACCUCCAACACUACAGAUGCCACAGAACAGAGCUGAAAUUUUUUUUUUCCUCUCUCUCUCUCGAGACAGGGUCUCACCAUGUAGUCCAAGCUGGCCUUGAACUCAUGAUCCUCCUACCUAAGAUCUGAGUUGUAAAAAAAUGUACCUUUACUUGCCCUC